rnacentral:rRNA from 1 species
CGGACGGGACCGCAGAGUCUGCCCCCGGUAUUCAGCUCGUCCUCUUCGUCGGCCGCGUCCGUCGCCAAACGACACCCUCUGAGCGGGUGCCAUGGCGGGCGUGAGCGCGGCGGGGGACGCGUGCACUAUCCGGGGUGCGGUGCGUCACGACCGGUUCGGCGGAGGUCAGAAGGCCGGCGGGAUGGUGGCCAGUCGUUCGCGUCUGGUGGUAUAGCCCGCCUGCGUCGCAGGCCCUCUGCCGGACCGAGGAGGAUCCGCGUCUGCCUUAGGGCGCGGGGCCCGGGGCCUCCCGUGCUGCCUCCGUGCCGGGACUGCUCUCGCAGUGCCGUGCGCGGUCGGCGGUCGGGACGGACUCCGCUCCCCCCGUAACGGCGUCUAGGGUCGGUGGCGAUAUUGUCGGCAACCCGUCCGACCCGUCU